rnacentral:sRNA from 1 species
GACGAAAUAAAACUGGCAAGUGCCAAUC